rnacentral:rRNA from 1 species
AUUGAACGCUGGCGGCAUGCUUUACACAUGCAAGUCGAACGGUAACAGACCUUCGGGUGCUGACGAGUGGCGAACGGGUGAGUAAUGCAUCGGAACGUGCCCAAUCGUGGGGGAUAACGUAGCGAAAGUUACGCUAAUACCGCAUAAGCCCUGAGGGGGAAAGUGGGGGACCGCAAGGCCUCACGCGAAUGGAGCGGCCGAUGUCAGAUUAGCUAGUUGGUGGGGUAAAGGCCCACCAAGGCGACGAUCUGUAGCGGGUCUGAGAGGAUGAUCCGCCACACUGGGACUGAGACACGGCCCAGACUCCUACGGGAGGCAGCAGUGGGGAAUAUUGGACAAUGGGCGCAAGCCUGAUCCAGCAAUGCCGCGUGUGUGAAGAAGGCCUGCGGGUUGUAAAGCACUUUCAGCCGGGAAGAAAACGCAUGGGUUAAU